GCAGUUCUCAGCAUCAGGUUCAAACUCAACCCGAGCCUCCCAAGCUCUUGUGGGAGCGGCGGGGACAGAAGGGUUCACCUCUGCUCCACACCAAGCCUGUCCUAGGGAGGAAGUCCAUCCGCCUGACCCUGCAGCCUCAGGAGUCCCAAGGCCCUGUGGGCUUCACCUCCUCUGCCAGACUCACUCCUCUCCCGCUGCCAGGACCCAGGGCUGCUCCUCGGGGUCUCCUUGUGUGCUGCUCCCUCUGCUGCAAAUGCCCUCUUCCUGGCCCCUGCACGUCUUGGCCUGCAAGUCACCUCUUUGGUGAGGCCUUCCUGGACCUGUCCCCCCCAAGUGAGCCCCUGCUGGAGGCUUUACUGAGGGGCUCUUCCAGCCCUGUGAAGCCCACAGCGCUUGUGUAGCUGCGUUUCACGACUGCUCCGCCGACACCCGGCCACCUGUCAAAUAAAUGAACAGCUCUGCUGACACACAUGGCUAUGGGACCUGCAGGAAGCUCUCCGGGGAGAAGGCCUCUGGAGGAUGAGGACUAUAGCCACCCCAGAAGCCCACUGGUCACACACGCUCAGAUGCUCAUAUUCACAUCCACGUGCACACAGAGCGGAAAGACAGCAGACCAGGGAAAAGAGGAGGAAGCAGGAUCUCACUGAGUCACUAAAUCACCCAGACUGUACUUGAACUUUUGGCCUUCCUGCUUCAGCGUCCCAGAGUGCUGGGGGCUGAAAUUUUAAUGCCUGGUUUGGGACCAGGUUCAGGAUACUGGUCCUUCUGUUGUCAUGAAUUCAAACCUGAGCUCCCAAUGUGAAGGUGGGUGUCAGAACCCAUUACAGGAACAGAAUUCCUCAGCUGUCAGCCUGGGAUCACCACAGGAGUAGAGGUACCUUCCAGGCCUUGGCUGGAAUAAAGGACAUUACACCAGGCCAGAGCCUCAAGCCUAUAACCUACACCGGUGCAAGGUCCAGAUGUAAGCUGCCUGCACAGUGCAGAAAUUGUCAGCUGAAGCAUUGCGUAAAAACAAUUUGGAGUUACCGAGCCUGCAGGGAGCUCACAGAUCAAAAUUGUGAAUCACAUAAAAAAUGUGUAUACCGUGAUAGACAGCACACAGACCCAGCAUAUGGAAGAAUUCACACCUGAGGAAUUAGAAAUGAUACCAACUAUGACUCCAACCAGGCCAUGGCUACAGGAGGCACUCAUGAACCAAGCAGCAAUGAGACAGGCCUGUUCAUGGCACCUGGCCAUUGCUGACAGGAGAGGAGGCAUUGAUCAAGAGGAUAGGAAGUGACAGAACCAUUUCAGCAAGGAAGUGUAGUUGAGCACUGACAUCGGAUUGUGUAAACUAUGAGUGUAUUCUGUG
rnacentral:lncRNA from 1 species